rnacentral:rRNA from 1 species
UACGGAGGGGGCUAGCGUUGUUCGGAAUUACUGGGCGUAAAGGGCGCGUAGGUGGCGACCCAAGUCCAUGGUGAAAGCUCGAUGCUCAACGCCGGGUCGGCCGUGGAUACUCUCGGGCUUGAGCUCACUAGAGGCAGAUGGAAUUCCGGGUGUAGCGGUGGAAUGCGUAGAUAUCGAGAGGAACACCUGCGGCGAAGGCGGGUUGCUGGGCCGACACUGACGCUGAUGCGCGAAAGCCAGGGGAGCGAACGGG